UAGGGAAUCUUCGGCAAUGGGGGGAACCCUGACCGAGCAACGCCGCGUGAGUGAAGAAGGUUUUCGGAUCGUAAAGCUCUGUUGUUAAGGAAGAACGAGUGUGAGAAUGGAAAGUUCAUGCUGUGACGGUACUUAACCAGAAAGGGACGGCUAACUACGUGCCAGCAGCCGCGGUAAUACGUAGGUCCCGAGCGUUGUCCGGAUUUAUUGGGCGUAAAGCGAGCGCAGGCGGUUAGAAAAGUCUGAAGUGAAAGGCAGUGGCUCAACCAUUGUAGGAUUUAGAAACUGUUUAACUUGAGUGCAGAAGGGGAGAGUGGAAUUCCAUGUGUAGCGGUGAAAUGCGUAGAUAUAUGGAGGAACACCGGUGGCGAAAGCGGCUCUCUGGUCUGUAACUGACGCUGAGGCUCGAAAGCGUGGGGAGCGAACAGG
rnacentral:rRNA from 1 species